UGGCCCGUUUAUAUCUCCUUCAUUACAGUGGAUAAUGCAGAGCAUAAAUGGUAGCAUUAAAGUUGAGUGCUUUCUACAACAGUUUCAUUGGAGUAACUAACAUUCAAGGCUUGGAAUGAAAUUCAAACAUUGUUUGCAGCAGUGGUGGGUUGCCUCCGGUUUGGACCGGUUUGCAAGAACCGGUUGUAAAAUCGACGGGAGGCCCUGCCCACCAUCCCGGAUGUCGUCAUCGGUGAUCUGCGCAUGCGCAGAAGCAAGGCGCACGAGCAAAGCAACGCAUGCACAAUCCUGUUGUGAACCAGUAGUAAAGAAAUGUGCCUCUAUAUAGCCUUGGAUGGACUGGGAGCAAGGAAGGGAAAGCAAAAGAAGGAAAAUGGAAGGAAGAAAAAGAGACUAAAUGAGAGGUUGUAAGGAUGUGUUAGCAAGCGAAGACAAAAACAAUAGUAUUAUAUGUUCAAGCAAUAUCUAGUGUCCUCCAUAGCCAAAGAAAGUAUUGAAAUGUCCUUGAGUUCCC